GGUGAAAUUCGUAGAUAUUAGAAAGAACACCAAAUGCGAAGGCAACUUACUGGGUCACUACUGACACUGAGGAGCGAAAGCAUGGGUAGCGAAGAGGAUUAGAUACCCUCGUAGUCCAUGCUGUAAACGAUGUGUGCUAGACGUUGGAAAUUUAUUUUUCAGUGUCGCAGCAAAAGCGUUAAGCACACCGCCUGGGGAGUACGACCGCAAGGUUAAAACUCAAAUGAAUUGACGGGGACCCGCACAAGUAGUGGAGCAUGUGGUUUAAUUCGAAGAUACGCGCAGAACCUUACCAACACUUGACAUGUUCGUCGCGACUUUAAGAGAUUAAAGUUUUCGGUUCGGCCGGACGAAACACAGGUGCUGCAUGGCUGUCGUCAGCUCGUGUCGUGAGAUGUUGGGUUAAGUCCCGCAACGAGCGCAACCCUCACUUUUAGUUGCCAUCAUUUAGUUGGGCACUCUGAAAGAACUGCCAGUGAUAAGCUGGAGGAAGGUGGGGGAUGACGUCAAGUCCUCAUGGCCCUUACGUGUUGGGCUACACACGUGCUACAAUGGUAUUUACAACAGGAAGCAAGAUGGCAACAUUAAGCAAAUCCUAAAAAGAUACCUCAGUUCGGAUUGCACUCUGCAACUCGAGUGCAUGAAGCUGGAAUUACUAGUAAUCGUGGAUCAGCGUGCCACGGUGAAUGCGUUCCCG
rnacentral:rRNA from 1 species